rnacentral:rRNA from 1 species
CCUACGGGGGGCUGCAGUGGGGAAUAUUGCGCAAUGGACGGAAGUCUGACGCAGCGACGCCGCGUGAGCGACGAAGGCCUUCGGGUCGUAAAGCUCUGUUCUUGGGGACGAAUAAAGUGACGGUACCCAAGGAGCAAGCCCCGGCUAACUACGUGCCAGCAGCCGCGGUAACACGUAGGGGGCAAGCGUUGUCCGGAAUUACUGGGCGUAAAGGGCGUGUAGGCGGCCAUGUAUGUCAGGUGUGAAAGGCCUCGGCUUAACCGAGGCAUUGCACAUGAAACUGUAUGGCUUGAGUGCAGGAGAGGGGAGUGGAAUUCCUAGUGUAGCGGUGAAAUGCGUAGAUAUUAGGAGGAACACCAGUGGCGAAGGCGACUUCCUGGACUGUAACUGACGCUGAGGCGCGAAAGCGUGGGUAGCAAACAGGAUUAGAUACCCCUGUAGUC